rnacentral:rRNA from 1 species
UACAGAGGGGGCAAGCGUUGUUCGGAAUUACUGGGCGUAAAGGGCGCGUAGGCGCCUUCUAAGUCGAACGUGAAAUCCCCGGGCUCAACCCGGGAACUGCGUCCGAUACUGGAAGGCUUGAAUCCGGGAGAGGGAUGUGGAAUUCCAGGUGUAGCGGUGAAAUGCGUAGAUAUCUGGAGGAACACCGGUGGCGAAGGCGGCAUCCUGGACCAACAUUGACGCUGAGAGCGAAAGCCAGGGGAGCAAACGGG